rnacentral:rRNA from 1 species
AUUGAACGCUGGCGGCAGGCCUAACACAUGCAAGUCGAGCGGAUGAAGGGAGCUUGCUCCUGGAUUCAGCGGCGGACGGGUGAGUAAUGCCUAGGAAUCUGCCUGGUAGUGGGGGAUAACGUCCGGAAACGGGCGCUAAUACCGCAUACGUCCUGAGGGAGAAAGUGGGGGAUCUUCGGACCUCACGCUCUCAGAUGAGCCUAGGUCGGAUUAGCUAGUUGGUGGGGUAAAGGCCUACCAAGGCGACGAUCCGUAACUGGUCUGAGAGGAUGAUCAGUCACACUGGAACCGAGACACGGUCCAGACUCCUGCGGGAGGCAGCAGUGGGGAAUAUUGGACAAUGGGCGAAAGCCUGAUCCAGCCAUGCCGCGUGUGUGAAGAAGGUCUUCGGAUUGUAAAGCACUUUAAGUUGGGAGGAAGGGCAGUAAGUUAAUACCUUGCUGUUUUGACGUUACCAACAGAAUAAGCACCGGCUAACUUCGUG